GAAGCCUACGGGAGGCAGCAGUGGGGAAUAUUGCACAAUGGGGGAAACCCUGAUGCAGCAACGCCGCGUGAGUGAAGAAGUAUUUCGGUAUGUAAAGCUCUAUCAGCAGGGAAGAAGAAAGACGGUACCUGACUAAGAAGCCCCGGCUAACUACGUGCCAGCAGCCGCGGUAAUACGUAGGGGGCAAGCGUUAUCCGGAUUUACUGGGUGUAAAGGGAGCGUAGACGGCAGGGCAAGUCUGGAGUGAAAGGCGGGGGCUCAACCCCCGGACUGCUCUGGAAACUGCCA
rnacentral:rRNA from 1 species